rnacentral:rRNA from 1 species
UACGGAGGGGGCUAGCGUUGUUCGGAAUUACUGGGCGUAAAGCGCACGUAGGCGGCUUUGUAAGUUAGAGGUGAAAGCCCAGGGCUCAACCCUGGAAUUGCCUUUAAGACUGCAUCGCUUGAACAUCGGAGAGGUAAGUGGAAUUCCGAGUGUAGAGGUGAAAUUCGUAGAUAUUGGGAAGAACACCGGUGGCGAAGGCGGCGACCUGGUCCAUUACUGACGCUGAGGCGCGACAGCGUGGGGAGCAAACAGG